CGUCAAUUCGUUUGUGACCGUUGCGCGAGUAAUGGCGCUUUGCAAUGGUGAUUUGCAGGAAAACAGUGCAGGAUGCCUGUGAUUCGUUUCUUGUGGUCGGAGUUAUGUUUGAUGCCUAUAUUUAUCAAAGAUUUAAUGCACAUUAUGGAGAAAGUGUUUUGUCACGAAGUGUGUUUGAAUGGGCACAAAAGUUCAAAGAAGAUCGCACGAGUGUUAUGAAAAAACAGCUGGACGCCCGUCCACAUCCACGAUGACAACAUUGAACGUGCUCAUGAACUUAUGCUCUAUGGAAUAGACGAGUGACACUGGAUAAUGUGGCAAAUCAUUUGCAAAUCAGCCACGGCUCUGCUUAUGCAAUAGUGCACGACAGAUGGAUUUUAAAAAGUUUGUGGCGAGAUGGAUGCCGAAAAAGCUGAUGAAAAGGUGAAGACGACGAUGCAUUCGUGGUUCGCAGCUCAGCCCAAAACAUUUUUUAAUGAGAAAAUACAAAGGUCCUUCGGCAAAUGGACAAAGUGUAUACAGAAAUCGAGUGAUUAUGUCAAAAAUGAUGUAUGUCUUUUUUGACAAUUGCUUAAAAUAAAUUCUACACCGACAGAGCGGGCUGUUAAUCUAGAGGCUGGAGUACAAAAGAAGUGGCACAAUGAUGUGGGCUGAUGACAUUUAUAAUUAUCAAGGAAUCACCCCUACAUUCGCUCAGAAUUUUAAUGAAACUGUCCCUUGGGAAGGAAGAACUGAUACCUUGAUAUCACGGUUUGUACAUCCUAUAUAUACGACAAAUUUUAGAACAUUAUAUAACGAAGAACCAGAUCGUCGUGGCCAUGUGAUGUGAAUAAAAGGACUUGAAUUUGAUGAUAUUUUUAUAAUGUUAGAUAACAUAACUAAGUAUCUUCACAGUAAGAUAGGAUGACAUGGUUUAC